rnacentral:rRNA from 1 species
GAUGAACGCUGGCGGCGUGCCUAAUACAUGCAAGUCGAGCGAACGGACGAGAAGCUUGCUUCUCUGAUGUUAGCGGCGGACGGGUGAGUAACACGUGGAUAACCUACCUAUAAGACUGGGAUAACUUCGGGAAACCGUAGCUAAUACCGGAUAAUAUUUUGAACCGCAUGGUUCAAAAGUGAAAGACGGUCUUGCUGUCACUUAUAGAUGGAUCCGCGCUGCAUUAGCUAGUUGGUAAGGUAACGGCUUACCAAGGCAACGAUGCAUAGCCGACCUGAGAGGGUGAUCGGCCACACGGGAACUGAGACACGGUCCAGACUCCUGCGGGAGGCAGCAGUAGGGAAUCUUCCGCAAUGGGCGAAAGCCUGACGGAGCAACGCCGCGUGAGUGAUGAAGGUCUUCGGAUCGUAAAACUCUGUUAUUAGGGAAGAACAUAUGUGUAAGUAACUGUGCACAUCUUGACGGUACCUAAUCAGAAAGCCACGGCUAACUACGUG